rnacentral:tRNA from 1 species
GCGUCCGUAGCUCAAUUGGACAGAGCACCAUUUUGACGAAGUGGGGGAUGAGGGUUCGAAUCCCUCCGGGCGCG